rnacentral:lncRNA from 1 species
AGAUGCCGGCGUCCCGUCCCGUAGGUGGGUUGGCGCACAGGUUUGGGAAAUGCAAGCCCAGCUCUGCGCCUUACCUGGCGCCUCCAGCCCUCCAGCAGCUUCGGCCCCGCUCUGAAAAGAUUGGCCAGCAGUUGCAUCCCUCGCACACACGGAGCCCUGAGCCCUGGGGUAACGCGGUUCCAAUUACUGCCAGAUCGGCAAGGCAUUUUGCAGAGGAAGAAACUGCAGUUUAAAGAGUGGCUGGCCUGUAGUCAUCAAGCCUGCAGACAGGAGAGGCAACACCCAGACUCAGAGAACAGGGUGUCUCUUUAUUAUACUACAGUGCAUCCUGCAGUUUUCAGAAAUGCUUUCGUUGUAUGAACUACAUGGUUCAGUUCCCAAAGGAAACCCAGGCCAAGCCUCACACCUCCAGGCAGCUGAUGAAGAGCAGACCUGUACUUGAGAAGCAGUUUUAACAGCACAGAGCGGAUGACAGGAGUCUGGUCAACAACAUCAUCAAAUGGAGACAGAGACUUUGUGUGUUCACGAUGUUCUGCAGCCAGAGAGAAGGGGACUAUAGUUCGUAUCAUGGUACAAAGCUGAGCCCAAACUCUGGUUUUGACCUUUACGGGAAGAAGGGAACUCACUCUGGGAAGCAUCUCUCAGCAGCUCCUUUUGUACGAAGAGCAAGGACAGCAGUGUAUCUAUGACACUCUUCUCAGGGGGCGUGUUAUCCUUGAAGCACAUGGUAGAAACAAGGUCCACAAAAAAGCUGUUGCACAUGUGCCGGAACUGGGCGUGCUUCUCAAUGGCUUUCCUUAGGAGGGAGGGAGAACUCGUGACAGAAGAAUUGUAGAAUGUGUUGCCCAAUACUUCCAGGCAGAGGGAAGGGAUAUUCGGAUAGUAUUUUGGUUUAAAUAUCAAGGUUUAUUUGACCUUGAACUCCACAAUUCUGUAUCAGCCUCCUAAUUGUUAGGUUUAAAACUAGGCUCUGUUUUUUUUUUGUUGUUGUUUUGUUUUGCAUUUUGAUUUUGAAUCAACAAAUGAGAUGGUCUUAACAAUGAUCAGAACUGGUCUUCAGACUACAACAGUGUUUCUGGGACACUACCAUUGUCUGGACCUAGAGCAUGGGCAAUAAAAUGGGAUGGAGUCAGGGCUGCUGAGGCCCUGCUCCUCUGUCUCCUGAAGACUGGGCCAGAUCUGCCUACAUCCUCAGGCAGAGACCAAGGCUGUGUUCAUAAAGAAGAGGAUCUGGGAGAUGGGCCCAUCAGUACUGCCCUUGCACCUGUAUCUCAGCAUGAGGGUGUGUAGGGACGAUGAGGCAGAUUCCUAGGCCUCACUGGCGGCUAAGCCAGGCAGAGACGAGCUGCAGGGUUACUGAGGUCCCUGUCCCAAAAUAGAGUGAUGAAGGAAGAUACCUGAUGUUGACGGUGGACACGUGAAUACACCCACAUGAACACAUACAUAUACAUACAAAGAAGGCAAUGAUGGGCAGGGGUUGGAUGAGUGGCAGGGUACAAGCUGAAUCUCAGUUCCACCUCCAGCACCACUCCAGCCCUCCCCACUAAAAGGCGCCAAGCUACACCGACAUGUUCGGUUUUCUUCCAAGGACUUUGUGACUUUCUAGCUUAUCUCCUAAGUUUGCUGUCUCCAUGUUGGUGCUUGUCUUAUUUGGGAAAGGGCAGAGGUCCAGGAAGCCUUGCUUCUGGCAUUACUUAUGGAAGUUCUCUGAAACCAGCUCUUACGCCCAAAGAACGCUGACCCAAGAGUUGACAUCUCCAAAGACAACAUUGGAAAAAAAAGCAAGGCAGCUUCCUCAAGAGAGAGGGUGACUUACCUGUGGUCCUGGGAAACAGUUGGUGAGAACUUGUCUGGCAAGUCAGUUAAGCAGUAGGGGCACAUCAUUUGCCCAGGGAUGAGCCAGGUCUGAAUGCAACGUAGACAAUACACAUGAUCACAGGGCAGACAGACGGGGUCCUGCGCAUCUCCAUGGCAGAUGAAACAUGGCUGAAUACCAAACCUAAAACCCAAGAAAGUGAUCGAUUUCAGAGCAGAAAUGCUGGCUACAAGAAACAGUUCCUUCCACCGCAAAUCCAAGUAAUCUCAAAGUCUUAAAUUACACAUCUCACCUGCUGAACUUCUUGCUGGCCUUGUCCUUGCAGUCACAGAGUGUGGUCAUUACAGCCACAAAUGGCCUGCAGGUCUUGAGGUUAGAGUCCUCUUCAAGACACUGAGGGAGGAGGGCAGUGGUGAGUAGUAGGUAAGGGUCUAUAGGGAAAGUGACCCAGCACCCAUUGUCUCAGUGGCUGCUGACGAACAGUCAUGGCCACAAAAGAGCAGCACAAGGCUCUUGGGAUGCUUGCCAUAGGAAGUUCCCACAUUUUCAGGAGACAGAGCAGUUAAGACCACUGGCUGCUGUUCCAGAGGAUCCUGGUUUGAUACCCAUUACCCACAUGGCAGCUCACAGGGGAUCUGAUACUCUGGCCUCCCUGGAUGCCAGACACACAUGCAGGCAAAACACUAAAGCAAGUUCCAGGACAGCCUGACUUAAAUAGUGAGCUCCAGGAUAGCCAGAGCUACAUAGUGAGACCUUACCUCAACAACAACAACAACAACAAACUAACAACAAUAAAAACCAAGAAGAAAGUUCCUACAUUUACAUGUCCUUUAAAAACAAACUUUUAGCCGGGCAGUGGUGGGGCACGCCUUUAAUCCCAGUACUUGGGAGGCAGAGGUAGGCGGAUUUCUGAGUUUGAGGCCAGCCUGGUCUACAAAGUGAGUGCCAGGACAGCCAGGGCUACACAGAGAAACCCUGUCUCGAAAAAACCAAAAACCAAAACAAACAAACUUUUAAGUAGCUGCAGUGAAUAAAUAAAUUAAUGCAAUAAAAUAAUUGAAAAAAUAAAACAUUUUAAAUUAAAAAAAAAAAAAAAAAAAAAA